CGGGUGAGGACAGAUUAAAAUCGCUAAUCAGAAAAGCACGCACCUCUUCAAAGCAGCACACUAUGGGCGCUGGGGCAGGAACGAGUGGCUCUAUGUGUGCCAAAAUGCUGUUCCCUGAUCCCCCACCCACCAGGCAAUGGUGGGAAUGCCCUGGGAGGCUCACAGCUCCCAGGAAGCUAGAGGUCUGGAGGAAGCUGGAGGUAUUCAUGAUCACAGCAAUGGUGCUUAACAGAGCCAAAGUGAUCCCAACGCGAACAUAUUUCCUAACGAUCUGACCAUUUAUAAAAUUAAUCCCCAAACACCCCUCCUCUUAACAUCCAUCCCUAUGUGAACGACAUCUAACCACAAAAUGGAAACAUGGUGGAUGGUAGACAGCUGCGACGGAUUCAUUUUCCUCUGGGCCUGACAGGACUACAUUUCCCAGCCUCCUUUGCAGUUAGGUUGGAGCCUUGUGACUAACUCUGGCCAAUGGGCUGUAAGCAACCCUGGCGCGCAUUUCCCGGCUGAAGAGGAGGUGUGCGUCCUCCCACAUCCCUCCCCCAUGAAGUGGCCGGGAUGGUGCAGCCACCACUCGUUGAAGCCUCACGCUCUGGACAGAUACUGUGAUUGACGAAGAAGCCUUUGGAUGUUAAGCCACUGAGAUCUCAGGCUAAACUUUUUACUCUGGCUGGACAGUCUGCAUACUCCGCCAUAGGAAGCGACAGCAAAGUGAAAUUGGAACUCUUGCCGAAGAGCUAGGGUUGUAGCAAGUGGAUGAAAGUGACACUGGAGAGCUGCUCAAAAGCACCAAAGGCAUUCGUCCCCGGGAGCCUGUCUUUUCUGACCAUGCUCUCUCACUCACGGGACUCAUCAUUCCCUCAUGGGGGGCAGAGGCUCGUGGGCUCACACGGGGGGACUCCCCAAGACCUAGGACUCCCUAACAAUGAGCCAGGAGCCGCGGCCCCAGAGUUCGGCCUGCGCGGUCCCAGCGGCGAUUCUGCGCAUCAUCGCUCGGGAAGAAUCCGUGAACCAGCUCAGAAAUUCUUCCAAUUCUUGUUAAAAGGACAAAUACUCCUUUGUUUACGCCUGCAUCAUUUUUAGCCGCCAUCGUAGGCUGCCUCCAAACAGAUGUGUUUCUGACCCUUACCAGAAAGCCAACCUAAUCAGGCAGGGCCAUAAAUGCCAGGGGAUAAUGGACUUAAUAUAUUAUCCAGUUCAGAUGACACAAAAGCAUAUGGACACAUAACUAAAACUUUCCAGAAGAGGGGAGAAAGGCUCUAACUCUGGUUUCUCCGAAGUGUGGAAUUCAAAUGCUAUAGGGCAUGGCUUGGGUUGAUACGUUGAUUGAUAGGGCAUUAAAUAACACUGAACCACGAAGAAAGUCCCCACUCCAAUCCUUCUGAGUCCACCAAGGAAAAAGAGCCAGUUCGGUGUUAGCCUGUCUCAAACACUUGCCUUUUUUUUUUUUUUUUUACAAAAAGAAUAAGCAGAACUUUGGGUAGGUCAUAGAGUGUAGCCAGAAUUUAAGAAUUUAAAAGGUUCUUUUCAUAAGUAACACUACUUACAGUAGUAAUAUGAAAUAUCCUUUUAAAACAAAUUUGAAGUUUUUUUAAAAAAAAAGUUUAUUUUGAGAGACAGGGAGAGAGAGAGAGAGAAGCAGAGAGGGAGAAAGAGAGAACCUCAAGCAGGCUCCGCACCAUCAGCAUGGAGCCUGAGGCAGGGUUUUAUCCCAUGGGCUGUGAGAUGGUGACCUGAGCCCAUCCCCAGAGUCAGAAGCUUAACUGACUGAGCCACCCAGGCGCCCCAAAACAAAUCUGAAGUUUGAAAAGUGAAUCAUUUAAGAAAAAUAUGUAAAUAAAAGGACGGGAGGUCUUCAGUGUUAGCAAAAAGCCUGAGGGUGGUUCUAGAACGCCUAAUGUCUGGAAGGCACUGCUUUAACACUUGGGAGUGAGUUCGGUUGGAAUUCCAGACAUUAUGAAGGAGCUCCCGCAGAGGAGACGAUAGGUUUUUACAAAAUGUCUUGAGUCCAGUGUAAGACAAAGAUCUAGGGGCAAACAAGGGUGGCUACAGAUUGGUUUGAACUGUUAGGUGUCCAGGAAAAUUCGGGAAUAGAGAAGUAAAUGCAACCUACUUAGUGCUCCCCCACGAUGAUGUCUCGAUCUCCCAUAAAAGCAAAAUGGGACAAAAAGAACUUGUGGACCUGACACACGGCAAGUGACCUCACCACAGGCUUUGGAAGAAACCAUUUAUAAGUAGGAGAGAUCCCAGAAACCUUUAAAGAAGGGCCCUUCACUCCUGCACCUUUACGUCAAGGGUCCCUUUACCACUAUCUCUGAGGCCAGGCUCCUACUUCCUCUCCUUCAGGGAACCCCUCUUCCCAGUUUCCUCUGUGUCCUUCCAGAAAUAGUUAUGUGGGAACACUUAUUCCACACUCUUCCGGUUUCCGUGUGGAGGGAGUUGCACCUGGGUGACACUUCCGGCCUCCUGCUCCGCCCCUCACCUGCUCUUCCGCUCCUGAUUGGAGGGGGCAUCCAGCGCCCACCUUCCGGAUUGGUGGAGCUCAGGGCGCGCUGCGCGGUGCUUUGCUCUGCCGCACACCUCCUCCCUACCCAGGGGAGCGGGAGUGUCUGCUCCCCUCGAGCCCCACUUUCCCUUCACCGAAGGGGGAGCCGGGUGUGGAGUCGGGAGCCCAUUCUCCAGCCUAGUUUCCCCACCAGUAAUCAUUCUCUUCGGGCGCGCAGGAUUCCACUUCGUCGUUGGCAUGGCCGCCUGGUGUUGGACUGUGUGGCUGAAGCCAGUCUGCUCAACUGGUUCCUUGCUGAUGGCCAUUGAGGUCCUUUCCAGAUGUCCUGCUAUUGCACGCCGGACUGCCCAGGGAUAUCCUUACACUUAUUUCCUUUUAAUAUUUUAUUUUUAAGCGAUCUCUACACCCGGCCUGGGGCUCGCACUCACAACCCUGAGAUGCAGGGGUGCAGUCUCCACCAACUGAGCCAGCCGGGCGCCCCCUUACGCUGCUCUCCGCGGAGUCCUAGAAGUGGGGGUGCUGCGUCAAAGGAACACUGUUACAGUUACGAGCCCGUGGUGAGACGUCCCUCGUGGGGUAUUCGACCCAGCCAGGCCCUCUCUCCCAGCCCCGGCCUCCUCUGCCCUCUGCCAGCUGCUGUUGCCACAUGACAAGAAAGACGGGCAUUCUUCAGGGAGGACUAGCGAACUUGCCCCUGACCGCGACAGCGCAUAGGAAUGCACGCGUGCCCCCAAGACAGGGAGGAGGUCCAGCAGGUCCCGGGGAGAGGGUGCGCCGAGGGGUCACCCACGUGAUUCUUCAUGAUUAAAGGUCGAGCUGCAGUUUACACGGCGUGUCUUGUGUUGGACCUUCAUGUCAGCCCUGUGAAGCCGGCAGGGCAAGGUAUCAUUAUCCCCACUUUACAGAUGAAAGACUGAGGCUCACAAAGGCUGCAGGUGAUUUGCCAAAGUUGGGCAGAGCUGGGACUCCAACCCCCUAUUUUCCACCUUGGGCUCCAGGACAUUUUCUGCUGCCCUCCUCCCCGCUCACGUGGUUAGGGCCUAAUGGAAAUCACACAGCAGCCUAGUUAACAUCAGGUGACAGGGCUCAGGAAGCGUCAAGCCAUCCCUGCAUCCUUGACCUUUAGUGGGACUUCCUUCAAUCUUUGCAGCAGACGGGCGGAAUCUGGGGAGGCAGCAUGUCUCUGCAUAGGCCCAUGAGCUACGGCUGGGAUAGGACGGGGCUUAUUAGAGAGGGUCUGAUUAAGAAAUACGUUCUAGGGGCGCCUGGGUGGCUCAGUCAGUUCAGCGUCUGACUCUUGAUUUCAGCUCAGGUCACAAACCCAAGGUCAUGGGAUCGAGCCCCACCUUGGGCUCAGCACUGACAGUGUGGAGCCUGCUUGGGAUUCUCUCUCCCUGUCUCUCUGCUCCUCCCCUGUGUGCUUGCUCUCUCUCUCUCUCUC